UGGACUGGAUUUCUGAGAUGGGACUUGGAUGCAACUUCCAGCAAUGUGGUCAUUCAUGGAAGCCUGGUUGGAAGAGUGCCCUAAAAAGGAGCACUUUCCUGAGCUGCCAACAGGGGGCAGCGCGGCCCAGCCGGGAGCGCGUCGGUGUCAGCGAGGCCCGCAGGGUUUUCCCAAGACAAAUCCCUUACACUUCCCAACACGUAUGUGUCAGACUUUGUACUUACCAAUGGAUGGCAAAUGUUGCUCGGUUGAUGGGUUUAAAUUAUAUGUCACUGCUAUAGGGUCCACAUUAAAGAAAGCACUAAAAA